AAAUUGAAGAGUUUGAUCAUGGCUCAGAUUGAACGCUGGCGGCAGGCCUAACACAUGCAAGUCGAGCGGAAACGAGUUAACUGAACCCUCGGGGGACGUUAACGGCGUCGAGCGGCGGACGGGUGAGUAAUGCCUAGGAAAUUGCCCUGAUGUGGGGGAUAACCAUUGGAAACGAUGGCUAAUACCGCAUGAUGCCUACGGGCCAAAGAGGGGGACCUUCGGGCCUCUCGCGUCAGGAUAUGCCUAGGUGGGAUUAGCUAGUUGGUGAGGUAAGGGCUCACCAAGGCGACGAUCCCUAGCUGGUCUGAGAGGAUGAUCAGCCACACUGGAACUGAGACACGGUCCAGACUCCUACGGGAGGCAGCAGUGGGGAAUAUUGCACAAUGGGCGCAAGCCUGAUGCAGCCAUGCCGCGUGUGUGAAGAAGGCCUUCGGGUUGUAAAGCACUUUCAGUCGUGAGGAAGGUAGUGUAGUUAAUAGCUGCAUUAUUUGACGUUAGCGACAGAAGAAGCACCGGCUAACUCCGUGCCAGCAGCCGCGGUAAUACGGAGGGUGCGAGCGUUAAUCGGAAUUACUGGGCGUAAAGCGCAUGCAGGUGGUUUGUUAAGUCAGAUGUGAAAGCCCGGGGCUCAACCUCGGAAUAGCAUUUGAAACUGGCAGACUAGAGUACUGUAGAGGGGGGUAGAAUUUCAGGUGUAGCGGUGAAAUGCGUAGAGAUCUGAAGGAAUACCGGUGGCGAAGGCGGCCCCCUGGACAGAUACUGACACUCAGAUGCGAAAGCGUGGGGAGCAAACAGGAUUAGAUACCCUGGUAGUCCACGCCGUAAACGAUGUCUACUUGGAGGUUGUGGCCUUGAGCCGUGGCUUUCGGAGCUAACGCGUUAAGUAGACCGCCUGGGGAGUACGGUCGCAAGAUUAAAACUCAAAUGAAUUGACGGGGGCCCGCACAAGCGGUGGAGCAUGUGGUUUAAUUCGAUGCAACGCGAAGAACCUUACCUACUCUUGACAUCCAGAGAAUUUUCCAGAGAUGGAUUAGUGCCUUCGGGAACUCUGAGACAGGUGCUGCAUGGCUGUCGUCAGCUCGUGUUGUGAAAUGUUGGGUUAAGUCCCGCAACGAGCGCAACCCUUAUCCUUGUUUGCCAGCGAGUAAUGUCGGGAACUCCAGGGAGACUGCCGGUGAUAAACCGGAGGAAGGUGGGGACGACGUCAAGUCAUCAUGGCCCUUACGAGUAGGGCUACACACGUGCUACAAUGGCGCAUACAGAGGGCUGCCAACUUGCGAAAGUGAGCGAAUCCCAAAAAGUGCGUCGUAGUCCGGAUUGGAGUCUGCAACUCGACUCCAUGAAGUCGGAAUCGCUAGUAAUCGUGGAUCAGAAUGCCACGGUGAAUACGUUCCCGGGCCUUGUACACACCGCCCGUCACACCAUGGGAGUGGGCUGCAAAAGAAGUAGGUAGUUUAACCUUCGGGGGGACGCUUACCACUUUGUGGUUCAUGACUGGGGUGAAGUCGUAACAAGGUAGCGCUAGGGGAACCUGGCGCUGGAUCACCUCCUUAUACGAUGAU
rnacentral:rRNA from 1 species